rnacentral:rRNA from 1 species
CCUACGGGUGGCAGCAGUCGAGAAUCAUUCACAAUGGGGGAAACCCUGAUGGUGCGACGCCGCGUGGGGGAAUGAAGGUCUUCGGAUUGUAAACCCCUGUCAUGUGGGAGCAAAUUAAAACGAUCGUACCACAAGAGGAAGAGACGGCUAACUCUGUGCCAGCAGCCGCGGUAAUACAGAGGUCUCAAGCGUUGUUCGGAAUCACUGGGCGUAAAGCGUGCGUAGGCUGUUUCGUAAGUCGUGUGUGAAAGGCGCGGGCUCAACCAGCGGACGGCACAUGAUACUGCGAGACUAGAGUAAGGGAGGGGGAACCGGAAUUCUCGGUGUAGCAGUGAAAUGCGUAGAUAUCGAGAGGAACACUCGUGGCGAAGGCGGGUUCCUGGACAUUAACUGACGCUGAGGCACGAAGGCCAGGGGAGCGAAAGGGAUUAGAUACCCUAGUAGUC